rnacentral:tRNA from 1 species
CGGGAUGUGGCGCAGCUGGUAGCGCGCGUCGUUCGGGACGACGAGGCCGUGGGUUCAAGUCCCACCAUCCCGACCA